GAUGCCUCUCCUUGCAGUGCCCAGGACCAUCUAGAACCUUCAAGCCUGGAUAGGGACGCAUUUCCAAUUUCUUCUCUUUGAGAUACUCUAUAACUUUAUACUACUACCUAGAGUCAACCAGAGGUCUCAAAACCUAUAACCCAGACUUAUGGUGUCAUAAUUAGGAUUCCAUGGCCAGAUUCUGUUUUCACAAAGUGACCAGAUGAGGGAGUUACUUUUGCUAAUUGGCAUUGCAUUUCUUCAAUUUGAUCAUAUGAGAAUAGACUGUCAAAACAGUGUCAACACACUGAUGUAGGAGCUCUAUAUACCCUAUGGGUCCUUGUCCAACAAUGUUACUAGUGGUAACAAUGUAAACUUGCUUUGAGAAAUGAAACUCUCCUAUAUAACCUACACAAGUAUUAAAUAAAUACUUGUAUAAAUACAUAUAACACAUAGUAGUAUACAAUAUGGACAUCUCAUAAGCAUCUAUGUUAUAAAUUUAAUAUGUAUCAAGUUCACAUUUGAUAAAUUAUUUAUUAUAAGUCACAAUAAAGAAUACUUCCUUUAGGUUUAUAGGAGCCAGAGGGAUCGAGGACCCCACAAGAACACUAUCCACAGAAUCAACUAAGUAGGCCUCAUAGAGCUCACAGAGACUGAAGGGACAAUCCCAGAGCCUGUGCUAAGUCUUCUACAUAUACCUUAUGGUUGUGUAGCUUGGUGCUCUUAUGGAAUUCCUAAUAGUGGGAGUGAGUGUGUCUCUGACUUCUGCCUGCACUUGGAACCCUUUCUUCCUACUGGGUUGCCUCAUCCAAUCUUGAUGUGAGGGCUUGUGCCUAGUCUUAUUGUAACUUGUUAUGCUGUGUUUGGUUGAUAUCCUUGGGAGGCCUGCUCUUUUCUGAAGGGAAACAGAGAAGAAAUGGAUCUGGGGGAGACAGAAGAUGGGAAAGGUAGGUCCUGGGAGGAGUGGAGGAAGGAGAAACUAUUAUCAAUAUUUAAUAUAUGAGAGAACAACAACAAAAGAAUACUUUCUUCAAUAAACUACUACAUAUACCUAAAAACAGGCGAAUAAACAUCAAAACCAGUAUUGGAAAAUGGCAGCAGCAACAUACAAUUCUUCAUUUAACAUUAAAGUUGCGUUACUUCAAUGAGAGCUAUAAUGUCACACUUGUAGGACUAUAGGCAAUGUUUCUUUGUGAUUCUAUUUUUUCUGUUUAGGGAUCCAAACAAAAGACAGCAGAAUCAGAAACUCUCAGCUUGAAGCAAACUAGUCAUACUGAGGACAGGUGUGCAACUGUAUCUCUCAAGCCCAGCCAACCACGUUGUCAUAUUGGGUUCACCUCAGCUGUCUGCAUAUAAACAUUGAUGCUACAUCUCAAAGUGUUACCUUCAUAUUUCACCAUUUCUACCUCAUCUACCAUUUUGCAUUGGCUGUCUUAUUUUGUUACAUGUGAAUAAUCAAUAAUUAAUCCUAUAGUUUUAGAACUUAAAGGCUAUCACACCAUUAGGAAGAGCAAGAUUAGUCAAGAAAAAAAACUAAAAAUAAACAUUGCAAACAGAUUUUAUGCAUGCAUGACCCUUGAACAUACCAAGUAUAUUUUCAAAUCUUCUUUAAUCCACUUAAUCAAUGGUGUUAAAUCAACACAUUAGUCCUGUCAGUGCCUGCCUGGUCAAGCCCAAAGAAUCAAACUCUGUGAUUCAAACUAAAAGGAAAGUUUUCAUGCUGGAAAAACUGUCAACUAUCUCAUGAUUUUUUUCCCUCCCAGUUUAUGAGAGCUCAUUAAAGCAGCAUUCAUUCCCCUUAAACACCCACCUACAAUUUACUGUCAAAUAUAUCACCCUCAAUUAAAGGAUAUUCUUCCUAAUAAUGUUUCCCAACAUAUACUUCUUUUUUUUCCUUUUAAAGAGUGAAGUGACUAGCAACUGUGAGAAAAUAAGCUUGUUCAUCACAUUUUAUCACUUUCCCUGCUAUUUUUUUCUUUGAGACACCACUGUCUUUUUAUGUCCAUGCUGGCUGUGCAUGUUUGUGACAUCUAUCACGGAGAGCCGUACCUGCCAGGACAAAAACACAGUACAGAGGAGGGACAGUCACUGCUGGCCAAAUCCCUUUAGACUAUGUCAGAAUGAGUAAUGGUGGUGGGAGCUUGCAGAAAAAACCCCAGAACCUGUGGGAUUCUAGGACACUUUAUCUAGAUCAGAAUUUGUGCAAAUCCCCCAUAUUGGGUAUUUUCUUUAAACAUUUUUUAUGUUUAACAUAAGCCAUACUUCCCUUUUUAAGGCUAAAUCAUUCAAGUUUCCAAGCUUCUCUCUCAACUAAGGACAUUUUUCAGUGUUUUAUUAGCUGGUUUGAUGAGCAAACAAUGAUUUGGUGUUUACUUCUAAGGUUACCCAAUGCCUUGAGACAGGAUAACAGCCUUGCGUGAAAUAGUAUAAAGAAUGGAAAACUGCAAGCACUGUCUGGCCAUUGCCAGUUGCUUUUCUCAGAAAGGAGAAUUGUGGGGUUCUCAGUUAUAUUUAUUCUAAAAUUCUGUGAGGUCCUCUUGCAUGAUUUUUUUAACUUUUUACUGUUGUUGUAGUUCUUUAAAAUACACACACACAUACAGAUACAUGAGAUAGGAUAUUUAUCAUCCAUACUGGUUACUGUUGCUUUUCAUUCAUCCUAACACGCUCUAUCGAGGUGCUUAUGACUAGGGAGGCGCAUGUGGAGGAAAACCAUUUGGCCACAGUUUAGCAUUUAGAACAACUUCAGUGUUGGGAUGCUGGCAUUAUCUCCAAACAAUACAUACAAGUAUUCUCACAGGGUAUUCAUCAUGCAUGCAAUUUUCCAUGAGUCCUGUUGCUUAACUGGCUUUCGAAAAUAAGGCCCUUGGUGACCUAUGAAUAGCAUCUUGUAUGUAUGAAUGGUUUUUAUGUAAACAUUUAUGAUAUAUAGCAAUUUUCAAGAACUUUGUGUUAUUUCCUCUGUGUUUAAUAUUCUGGAACCCUGGACAACUGGAAGUGGCUUGGGAUCUGAAAUAUUCUUUUACCAGAACCUUCCAUCCUUUGCUGUUCUAAGCAUCAGCUCCAAUUCAGCUUUCUCCUUUGCCCCCGUGUCUUUACCACAGCCCACCACACUGUGGUAUGCGUUCUUACGUGGGGAUGUCUGCUCUCCUUGUUUGCUUUCUUAUACAGUCACCUGUCCAGGGAUAGCAGUAUCCAUAAUGGCCUGGGCCUUCCUACAUCAACAAUAAAUUAAGAAAACAUCACACAAUCAUGCCCACAGGCCAAUCUGGUUAAGGAAAUUCCUCAACUGAGGUUCUUUCUUUUCAUGUUAAGUUGACAAGAGAUAACCAACAAAGUCACUAAGAUCAGUUUAAAGAGACCCCCAAACCAAAGAAGGAAAGUGACACCUCUUGAUGCCAAAGGACUGAUAAGAGCUAAGAGCUAGCUAUGGUCAUGAUUCACCAGAUAAAAGACAAUGAGUGGUGAAGGCAAGGCCUAUGAAUCUGGGUCUCACAAUAUCACUCCUAAGGCCAGGCACACAAUUCCAUUCUAGGGUUGACCACACCAACAGCUUACUUCCUUUAUGCUUAAAUACCUACAGGUUGAGUUUGUAACACAUUUAACAAAAAUAUAAAUAUUUAUAUAUACUGAUAUACUAAAUAUUUGAACACCUCCUUGUGUUAGGCUCCAAGGACAGAAGAGCAAACAAACAAGACCAUAGCCCAGAUCCCUAUAAAACUUACAGCCUAGUUCCCCAAUGACUGGAAGGGACUGCAAAUGGGAAUGUUAUAUUUGUAUCGCAGUAACAUUUGUAUUAUCAUUCAUUCAUGAUGCAUUAAUAAAUGUCUGACAGAGCCAACAUGGACAUUAAAGGUUAGAGUACAUCCAAAUCAUAACCCUUCAAUGAAGUGCUAGAGAGAAUAUACUCUCCAAGUGAUACUCCUGUGUCAGUGUCAAAGUCAGAAUUUGGGAGCUGAAGUACUAGUCUCACUAAGCAAAGCCAUUUCUUGUGAUAGAUGCUGACUAAUGCCAUGUGUUUACCUUGUAGGUCACAGUGCUUAGACAUGUCUCACAAGUGGUGCGCUCCCAACAAUGACAUAGUAACAGAGUUCAUUGUCGAGCAGGAGAGAAGAGGGUGAAUCCCUGAUAAUGAUCCAGGAACGGAGUGCUCCCUGGGAAGCCCCUGGGAAAGGUCUUGGACAAAUCAAUAUUGCCAGCCAAGUAUUUCUUCCACUGGGGAUAUGAAGGCUGAAACUCAUUGGGCAGGAAAAUUCAGGACUGGACCCAUGUAUCUUUAAUUUUGUUAAAGGUUCUGUUUGAAAUCAUACACAAUAGAAGGCAAAAUGAAUUCUCAACCUUCAAGCAAAAAAGAAGGAAUUUUUAAAGAUGUAGUUAUUAAAUGGCCCAGGAGAAAUAAACACACAUCAAAGGAA